UACGAAGGGGGCUAGCGUUGCUCGGAAUGACUGGGCGUAAAGGGCGCGUAGGCGGAUUGUACAGUCAGGCGUGAAAUUCCCGGGCUCAACCUGGGGGCUGCGCUUGAGACGUGCGAUCUUGAGUGGGGAAGAGGGUUGUGGAAUUCCCAGUGUAGAGGUGAAAUUCGUAGAUAUUGGGAAGAACACCGGUGGCGAAGGCGGCGACCUGGUCCUUGACUGACGCUGAGGCGCGAAAGCGUGGGGAGCAAACAGG
rnacentral:rRNA from 1 species